ensembl:ncRNA F59F5.9 ncRNA
UCUCCCGCGCGCGUAGCCAAACGGCCGAUAGAUGUGUGACCCUGUGUUCUCUGGCUCUGGCCUGUCUCAUCUUUCGUUUGCACCCAUUCUCUAAUGCCCUAGCAUCGAUUCGGGCCCACGUCCGGCCACAACGAAGAGGACGAAAAGGAGAAAGAAGGGGGAAGAAUACGAAGGGCGAGCACUACUGACCGUUGUGUGU